rnacentral:rRNA from 1 species
AUUGAACGCUGGCGGCAGGCCUAACACAUGCAAGUCGAACGAGUGGCGGACGGGUGAGUAAUGUCUGGGAAACUGCCUGAUGGAGGGGGAUAACUACUAGAAACUGUAGCUAAUACCUCAUACCAUCAGAUGUUCCCAGAUGGUAUUGGCUGGUUGGUGGGGUAACGGCUCACCAAGGCGACGAUCCCUAGCUGGUCUGAGAGGAUGACCAGCAACACUGGAACUGAGACACGGUCCAGCAUCCUACGGGAGGCAGCAGUGGGGAAUAUUGCACAAGGGGCGCAAGCCUGAUGCAGCCAUGCGGCGUGUAUGAAGAAGGCCUUCGGGUUGUAAAGUACUUUCAGCGGGGAGGCGUUACCCGCAGAAGAAGCACCGGCUAACUCCGUGCCAGCAGCCGCGGUAAUAC